AGGUAUUGAAAUAAGAUUUUAAUUGAAUGCUAAGAGAAUGGAAGUCCAGAAAAAAACUUUUUUUAAAUUAAAAAUUGAAGUUUUUUUAAUUUGUGCAGAAACAAUUAUUUAUAUUAAAGACAAGAAGACCCUAUGAAUUUAUUAAAUUUUUAUUUAAUAUGUAAUUACUAUUAGAAAAAUUUUGGCUGGGGCGGCUAGAAAAUAUUAUGAACUUUUUAAAAAUAAAAUGAUCCAUUAUUAAUGAUUUUAUGUUAAAUACUCUAGGGAUAACAGCGUUAUAUUUUUUGAUAGAUCAUAUUGACAAAAAAGUUUGCGACCUCGAUGUUGGAUUAGGAUACUUUUUUAAUGAAGAUAUAAAAAAAGAAGU
rnacentral:rRNA from 1 species